UGUGGAGGCUAUAUACAGGGGGUAUUCACUAUUGUUCCAAUAUGUCCCGAGAGGCGCAGCAGUCUAAGGCAGUGCUUGAGGCGUCACUACAGACACAGCCUGGAAUCAAACCAGGGUAUCACAGCCUGCCGUGAUUGGGAGUCCCAUAGGGCUGCCUAUAAUUGACGUCGUCCGGGUUUGGCCGGUGUAGGUCGUCUUAAUUGUUCUUAACUGACUUGCAUAGUUGAAAUAAAGGUUACAUAAAAAAAAAAUCUGAACAGAAGACGGGGAUAGAUAUCGCGAGAUGACAUGAAGUGAAUGUCCAUAGCAGAACACUAGAUGGAGCUAGAUAUCGCGAGAUGAUAUUCAACUAGAAGUAGUGAAAGUAAAGUGUGAAACUCCACCACCCUUUUCCUCCGUUAUUUCUGGAACAGACGUCGUGUUACAUUCUGUUCGUUGACAAAUGAGCCUUUCGACUGUUUUGGUUUAUUUUUCUAAACUCCUAAUAGUUUUAUUGACCAGUUACAAACAGCUUUACCUUGGAGUCAGACUUGUUUUGUUCGUGAAAUGAAGAUCUUUCCGAUCUCGGCGGUCUGGUGUUUUGGGAUUCUGUUCAUCAGUGUUUCAUUGAUAACGACAGUUUCCCUGGCACCCAAAAGUACUUGUUUCAUUUCGAAUGCUAAGCCGGACAGGAAAAUGGUCCAUAUCACACACUUAUCAAGAGAACAUCCCUGGUCAUCCCUACUGCCUCUGAUCUGGAGGACUCACUAAACAGAGAACAUCCCUGGUCAUCCCUACUGCCUCUGAUCUGGAGGACUCACUAAACAGAGAACUUCCCUGGUCAUCCCUACUGCCUCUGAUCUGGAGGACUCACUAAACAGAGAACAUCCCUGGUCAUCCCUACUGCCUCUGAUCUGGAGGACUCACUAAACAGAGAACAUCCCUGGUCAUCCCUACUGCCUCUGAUCUGGAGGACUCACUAAACAGAGAACAUCCCUGGUCAUCCCUACUGCCUCUGAUCUGGAGGACUCACUAAACAGAGAACAUCCCUGGUCAUCCCUACUGCCUCUGAUCUAGCGGACUCACUAAACAGAGAACAUCCCUGGUCAUCCCUACUGCCUCUGAUCUAGCGGACUCACUAAACAGAGAACAUCCCUGGUCAUCCCUACUGCCUCUGAUCUAGCGGUCUCACUAAACACAUGCUUUGUUUGUAAAUUAUGUCUGAGUGUUCCCAUGACUAUUUCUUAAAUAAAAAAAACUAACGUCCUUCCGGAACCCCAACUCAACAUUGUUCUGUCAAGGCAACAAAAGCAAGUUGGCAUGAAAGGAAUUUAACUCACAACCUCUCCUUUGGGAAUUCACCACCAUAACUACUACUACAACAACUAUUUUUAAACUAUCUUAACAUGUGGCUUUCUUCAGGGGGACCAAGACUAGGAACACCUUUGAAUGGUCUACAAAGAAUGGCCCCGGGUAAAAGUUGGCUUUUGCAGAGUAUGGUUGUGUUGUUACUCCACACCAUAGUAUGUUAUCACACCUCUAUUGAAAUGACAUUUGAAACAAGGUGUCACUUCAUUCUUGCUAUUUGAUGGGAACUAGCCCCUUUCCCCCUAUAUACCUCUGGUUUGCUCUGUCAGACCCACAAAGACAACAAGAAGUUGCUCCAUUAACUGUUUCUCUGGGAUUUGACCUCUCUGGUUUGGGGAGCAACCACCAUAACCACUCUACCAGACAGACAGAGAUGUUAAGGUCUACACCUGUUGUAUUAAGCAUGUGAUGAAUACAAUUUUAGUUUAUUUGAUAGCAUGACAUCAGAAUUGUAGGUAGAGGAAUCUGAUCCUAGAUCUGUGGUUAGGGACAACUUCUACUGGACAGAUCAGGAUACAACACAUAGAACACUGCCAUCUAGUGGACAGAUCAAGAUACAACACAUGGAACACUGCCAUCUAGUGGACAGAUCAAGAUACAACACAUGGAACACUGCCAUCUAGUGGACAAAUCAGGAUACAUGGAACACUGCCAUCUAGUGGACAGAUCAUGGAAGUUUUAUUUGGCAAGUUGGCACCAUAAACUGGUGAUGCUCAAGAUAAACACACACAAUGACAUUAUAGUAAAAUGCAAUUUAGAAUUUUACAUUAACAAUUAGAAUAUAAUAUAAUAAUAUAACACAUUGAAGCCUUUCCAACAAUCAUCAUGGACAAAACACUACAACUUUCCUUCUGUUAGUAGUAAUGAACCUUUACAACUGAUAUUGUCAGCUGGUUCCAGUCAGUGGUGUCUGUAUGUUCUCAUGAUAAACUAACUCUUGUUGUUGAUAGUUCCAGUCAGUGGUGUCUGUAUGUUCUCAUGAUAAACUAACUCUUGUUGAUGGUUCCAGUCCGUGGUGUCUGUAUGUUCUCAUGAUAAACUAACUUGAGAACAAG